rnacentral:tRNA from 1 species
AAGUUAUGCUUGAGCAGAUAAAAGCUUCUAACUUUUAAUCUAAAAGGUUUAAUUCCUUUUAUAACUUU